rnacentral:rRNA from 1 species
GACGAACGCUGGCGGCGUGCCUAAUACAUGUAAGUAGAACGCUGAAGAGAGGAGCUUGCUCUUCUUGGAUGAGUUGCGAACGGGUGAGUAACGCGUAGGUAACCUGCCUUGUAGCGGGGGAUAACUAUUGGAAACGAUAGCUAAUACCGCAUAACAAUGGAUGACACAUGUCAUUUAUUUGAAAGGGGCAAUUGCUCCACUACAAGAUGGACCUGCGUUGUAUUAGCUAGUAGGUGAGGUAACGGCUCACCUAGGCGACGAUACAUAGCCGACCUGAGAGGGUGAUCGGCCACACUGGGACUGAGACACGGCCCAGACUCCUACGGGAGGCAGCAGUAGGGAAUCUUCGGCAAUGGGGGCAACCCUGACCGAGCAACGCCGCGUGAGUGAAGAAGGUUUUCGGAUCGUAAAGCUCUGUUGUAAGUCAAGAACGAGUGUGAGAGUGGAAAGUUCACACUGUGACGGUAGCUUACCAGAAAGGGACGGCUAACUACGUG